UACGUAGGGGGCAAGCGUUGUCCGGAUUUAUUGGGCGUAAAGAGCGUGUAGGCGGCCAGGUAGGUCUGCUGUGAAAACUCGAGGCUUAACCUCGAGAUGUCGGCGGAAACCAUCUGGCUAGAGUCCGGAAGAGGAGAAUGGAAUUCCCGGUGUAGCGGUGAAAUGCGCAGAUAUCAGGAGGAACACCGGUGGCGAAGGCGGUGGUCUGGGCCGGAACUGACACUCAUGGACGAAAGCUAGGGGAGCGAAUGGG
rnacentral:rRNA from 1 species